rnacentral:rRNA from 1 species
UACGGAGGGUGCAAGCGUUAUCCGGAUUUAUUGGGUUUAAAGGGUCCGUAGGCGGCUAAAUAAGUCAGUGGUGAAAGCCGGGCAGCUUAACUGUCGAACUGCCAUUGAUACUGUUUAGCUUGAAUUGAUUUGAAGUAGCUGGAAUGUGUAGUGUAGCGGUGAAAUGCAUAGAUAUUACACAGAACACCAAUAGCGAAGGCAGGUUACUAAGGUCAUAUUGACGCUGAUGGACGAAAGCGUGGGGAGCGAACAGG